rnacentral:rRNA from 1 species
CCUACGGGUGGCUGCAGUGGGGAAUAUUGGACGAUGGGGGGAACCCUGAUCCAGCCAUGCCGCGUGUGUGAAGAAGGCCCUCGGGUUGUAAAGCACUUUCAGUGAGGAAGAACGCCUGGUGGUUAAUACCCAUCAGGAAAGACAUCACUCACAGAAAAAGCACCGGCUAACUCCGUGCCAGCAGCCGCGGUAAUACGGAGGGUGCGAGCGUUAAUCGGAAUUACUGGGCGUAAAGCGCGCGUAGGUGGCUUGAUAAGCCGGUUGUGAAAGCCCCGGGCUCAACCUGGGAACGGCAUCCGGAACUGUCAAGCUAGAGUGCAGGAGAGGAAGGUAGAAUUCCCGGUGUAGCGGUGAAAUGCGUAGAGAUCGGGAGGAAUACCAGUGGCGAAGGCGGCCUUCUGGACUGACACUGACACUGAGGUGCGUAAGCGUGGGUAGCAAACAGGAUUAGAUACCCGAGUAGUC